UGUGUGUGGGUGGGACUGGCUGUUUCAUAGCUACUGAGGUGUGUGUGUGUGGGGGACUGGCUGUUUCAUAGCUACUGAGGUGUGUGUGUGUGACUGGCUGUUUCAUAGCUACUGAGGUGUGUGUGUGGGACUGGCUGUUUCAUAGCUACUGAGGUGUGUGUGUGUGUGGGACUGACUGUUUCAUAGCUACUGAGGUGUGUGUGUGUGUUGUGGGACUGACUGUUUCAUAGCUACUGAGGUGUGUGUGUGUGUGUGUGUGGGACUGACUGUUUCAUAGAUACUGAGGUGUGUGUGUGUGUGGGACUGACUGUUUCAUAGCUACUGAGGUGUGUGUGGGACUGACUGUUUCAUAGCUACUGAGGUGUGUGUGUGUGUGUGUGUGUGUGUGGGACUGACUGUUUCAUAGCUACUGAGGUUGUGUGUGUGUGUGUGUGUGUGUGUGUGUGUGUGUGUGUGUGUGUGUGUGUGUGUGGGACUGACUGUUUCAUAGCUACUGAGGUGUGUGUGUGUGUGUGUGGGACUGGCUGUUUCAUAGCUACUGGUGUGUGUGUGGGACUGGCUGUUUCAUAGCUACUGGUGUGUGUGUGGGACUGGCUGUUUCAUAGCUACUGAGGUAUCUGUGGGACUGGCUGUUUCAUAGCUACUGAGGU